UUCCGGUUGAUCCUGCCGGAGGCUACCGCUAUUGGAGUUCGAUUAAGCCAUGCGAGUCGCGAGAAAUUAGAUUCUCGGCGUACCGCUCAGUAACACGUGGGUAACCUGCCCUAUGCUGGAUAAUAACCUCGGGAAACUGAGAAUAAUGAUCCAUAGUUCACUACGCCUGGAACGGUGAGUGGAUGAAAGCUCCGGCGGCAUAGGAUGGGCCUGCGGCGUAUCAGGUUGUAGGGGGUGUAACGUACCCUCUAGCCCUCUACGCGUACGGGUGUUGGGAGACAUAGCCCGGAGAUGGAUUCUGAGACACGAAUCCAGACCCUACGGGGUGCAGCAGGCGCGAAAACUUGGCAAUGCGAGAAAUCGUGACCAGGGAACUCCAAGUGCAUCGGGUAAGACCGGUGCUUUUCUUGACUCUAAAUAGGUCUUGGAAUAAGGGGUGGGUAAGGACGGUGCCAGCCGCCGCGGUAAUACCGGCGCCUCAAGUGGUAGUCGCUUUUAUUGGGCCUAAAACGUCCGUAGCCGGUCUGAUACAUUCGUGGGUAAAUCAACCAGCUUAACUGGUUGAAUUCUGCGAGGACGGUCAGACUUGGGACCGGGAGAGGUGUGGGGUACGCUCAGGGUAGGGGUAAAAUCCUGUCAUCCUGAGCGGACCACCUGUUGCGAA
rnacentral:rRNA from 1 species